rnacentral:rRNA from 1 species
AGCCUUAGCAGCCCGAAAGGGUGCAGCUCCAACGACUCUAACCGGAGAGCUGCUGAAAUGCUAGUUUGCACCGCGCAGGCGACACUAUCCAAUUGCGGGAACCCCCUAAAGGCCUCAACACCAAGCGUUCGUGGGAAACCAUGGCGUGGCCGAGCUAAUAGCCCUGGGUAUGGUAACAGCUUGAGGUAUGAAGCCCCCCCAUGGGGGGUGGAAAUGGGCUAUCCGCAGCCAAGUCCUACCGUAUGCAGCCCCCGCUGCGUGCCACGGAUGCUGUUCACAGGCCAAAUGGUAGUGGGUGACUUGCCGAGUCGCUUAAGAUAUGGUCGGGCCCCUCUAGAAAUAUUGGGGAGAAGUUUAUGCCGUGUCCAUGACACAUACGAACUGUAACCGUUCCGUAGGUGAACCUGCGGAAGGAUCAUU